AUUUCUUAUGGUGGACUGACGAGGGGAAUUUGAACACUAGUUGUGAUUGAAUUGUUGGAAGAAAUGGUCGCAUGGGAAUGUAGGAAUGAUCUACCUGCUCGAUUUGUGUCUGCAACGCUUCAUGUUGAUAAGUCCCUCAAAAUGGCGGCCAAACUUGGAGAUUGCC